CAAAGCCCUGCAACUGCUUUGAUUGUGUUGGAGGUCUGGAGUCGCUCUGUUUUCAGGUUUGAGUUUAGUUUCUGUUCACACGGGCACCUGGGUGGUUGAGCUACGGUCUUUUCCAGCCUUCUUCUUGUCCAAGGUAGAUCUGACAGCUGGCUGUGAUCGACACCACCGAGAAAGACAGACUGAACAAACGAGAGGAAGGAGAGCAGCAGGAAGGCAGCAUUUCAGAAUAAAGCCCAGGGAAGGCAUGGCAAACGCUGGCCACCAGAUGUUGGAACCCGGCUGCAGGGAUUUGUUCCCAUUCAGCCGUAAGAGCAUUAGCGAGGUCGGCCACGGAUUUUUGGGUGACAAGGUCUGGCUCACAGUCGGCAUUCGAGUUCAUCCCGAAACUGCCGCAUGGGGUUGAUGUCAGGGCUGUGCAGGCCGGUCAUGUUGCCAGAAAGCAGGAAGAACAAUAUGGUGCGCAGUAUUUUGCUUAAAUGUAGUAAGUAAGCAGUUCCUGAUUCAUGUCACCAAUGAUUUCACCAACACCAUCUUCCCCUAACUUUAAUAUUACCAUAAAAAUGUUAAUCAUGCCAGUCAAACGGCAGUUAGCUUAAGUUUAGGUUCAAAAGCUACUUGGUUCAGUUCAAAACUAGGAGGCUAAGUUCAGUCAAUGAUCACGGUUCAGGUUAAAAUAAGUGCGUUAAUGUGACGAACGUUAUGUAAGUUAAAAUAUGCCAAACAUUGACUUCCAGUUUCACAAAAAAAAAGCAGCCUUCUGGGUAAAAAUGGAAAGUCUGUUUGACUCAUCCAUCCACUCCACCUCCUCCACAUGCAGACUUUCUUCCUCUUAAAUCAACUGACUUCCUCUUUUGCUCAUGUCAUGAUUAUUACGGCCACUAGACGCAACUUUACGUAACAAUAACCUGCUUGCACAGACAACCUAUACGGCUGUCUCUCUGGUGAAAAAGCAAACGCACUACAACAUUCUGCAGAUAUUCGGUCAUUAGUAAAGACGCAGGGAGGGGGGAACAACAGGAAACAGCUGUAACAAUUACAUUUCUUUCAAAUUGGAUAUUUGCUGUUGCACAUUAGCCGUAUAUCAAUAUAACCCCAACCCUGGAAGGACUUAAAAUACAAUAUUAAGAUUCUCUUCAUUGGGAACAAAGGGAAACCCAGACCCUGACACACAGCCACAGUGGGUGUCCACAUACUUUUGGACACAUACUGUAUUUGUAUUGCUCAUAGACUGGAGGGAAACAUGUGGGAUCCAGCAGUGGAGCUGAAACUGGACUUCCCUUUAGUCCUUUUUUUUCUCAACACAGCCAACAUCUGUUUGGGAGCAGCGUCUUUAACAGCCUUUAGAGGAACUGCAGCUUCUUGGCAGAAAAACAAAACACAUCUUUUCCACUUUAAUGAAGGUCACCCAGGCCGGGAUCACUCCUCCCCUCUUGCUGGGAAUCCCAGCUCCUUCUGGGCCUGCGGGAGGCCGAGGUCCCCCCAGCGUUUCUUGGAUGCUUGCCCGCGGUCUCCCUCCACCGGCCAAUCAUCAUGACCAGGCGGCCCGAGCCGCCCCUCGCGGCUCCUCUCGACGUGGAGGAGCGGCAGAGGUCGUCUUGAACCGGCGGGCUCUUCACCCCGGCACGAAGACGAAGGCCAGCCACCCGGAGAAACCUCGCCUCGGCUCAUUCUUGCAUCUGCGGCCUCAUUCUUUCAGCCGCUGACCAUCAUCUUAAAGGACAUUUAAGAGAUCAACACAUGGCCCGCUGCCUCAUAAACAAGGAAAUACAGACUCUAACUACUCCAUAAUGUGGGAUGCUUUGUUCAGCAGCAUGUCGGAGGGCGGCCCGCUCGGAAAGAAACAUCUGUUCAACCAACAAACACACGGGCCGGAGUGCUCAUUCAUGUUCACGAGCUCGUUACACACUUCAUCUACGAAAACGCCUUCUAAUAUCGAUGAGCCCACUUUCCCACAACACAAGACUCUGUUGUCUUUAUGUGCCCAUUCUGUCGUCUAACGGCGGCAUCUUCACCAACGGGCCAAAUGUGGACAUCAGACGUAACAGCUUCGGUAUCAUCCCCUCGCUUUCAUUCGGCGACAGUCAACACUCACACGGGGCUGAGAUUCAUCACAGCGGAGGCAGAGACACCAAUUUCUCCACCAGCGGCGGCAGGAAAAUGGCCCAGAAUGCAAUUCAGCCGCGAGACGGGGACACAGCUGCAAUCACGCCGACAGCCAAAUGAUCAUGAGCUGGGAGGCUUUAUUACUCGGCCGGACGCCCACCCUUGAUUGAAAACAAUAUGCUUACCUCAUUGCUUCGUGGGCUGAUGAAAAGCAUCUUGGGAAAUGUAGUAAAUCAUGUAUCAUUCUGCUGUUUUCACAUUAAAAA